GAGACUUCAUGCUCUUCGCAGCCACAAAUUUUAAAAGGUGGCAACCCCAACCCAACAAAAAACCAGCAAAAAACCCACCAAAACUGGAAGAGCUUUAGAACUAGGUGCAAGGGCCUUUUUGUGAGGUCCCCUAGAGCAGGGGCUGCCUACAUGAAGCCCAGUGCUUGAGGAAUUCAGAGGCUUCUGAAAAAGGAUGCCUUAAUAUGGAGUCAUUCACUCAAAUGGGGAUAUUAAAAACUGUAAGUGAAGCUUUUAAUUUUGGGGGCCAGUUAAUUUCUUUAGGGGCCAUGAAGAUGAUCUAUAUCUUCAGGCAAAAGUUCAGGGAUCAAAAACUUCAUCUUCCUAUUGUAAAAAAGGGGCUGCUGCUCAGCCCAAGUAGCAGGUUUAUGUCAUGAAUUUAGAGGAGAUAUUUCUGUUUCCUGCUUGGCUGGGUACAGAGAAGAACCUGAGAGAAUAAGCAUUGUGAAGCCUGCAGUAUAACAGUGAGAACACUUGCAAAAACAAGUGCAAAAUGUGC